rnacentral:rRNA from 1 species
AUUGAACGCUGGCGGCGGGCCUAACACAUGCAAGUCGAACGAGUGGCGGACGGGUGAGUAAUGUCUGGGCAACUGCCUGAUGGAGGGGGAUCACUACUGGAAACGGUAGCUUAUACCCGAUACUCUCGUUUGAGCCCAGAUGGGAUUAGAUAGUUGGUGGGGUAAAGGCUCACCUAGGCGACGAUCCCCAGCUGGUCUGAGGGUAUGACCAGCCACACUGGAACUGAGCCAGGGUCCAGACUCCUACGGGAGGCAGCAGUGGGGAAUAUUGCACAAUGGGCGCAAGCCUGAUGCAGCCAUGCCGCGUGUAUGAAGAAGGCUUUCGGGUUGUAAAGUACUUUCAGCGGGGAGGCGUUACCCGCAGAAGAAGCACCGGCUAACUCCGUGCCAGCAGCCGCGGUAAUAC